rnacentral:rRNA from 1 species
UGCGUAGGUGACAAGCGUUAUCCGGAAUUACUGGGCGUAAAGCGCACGCAGGCGGCCGAGUAAGUCUGACGUGAAAUCUCCCGGCUUAACCGGGAGCGGUCGUUGGAAACUACUUGGCUUGAGGCGAUGAGAGGGGUGUGGAAUUCCCGGUGUAGCGGUGAAAUGCGCAGAUAUCGGGAGGAACACCAAUGGCGAAGGCAGCUCGCUGGGACGGUACUGACGCUGAGACGCGAAAGCGUGGGGAGCAAACAGG